AGGAUGAACGCUGGCGGCGUGCCUAAUACAUGCAAGUCGAGCGAACAGAUAAGGAGCUUGCUCCUUUGAGGUUAGCGGCGGACGGGUGAGUAACACGUGGGUAACCUACCUAUAAGACUGGGAUAACUUCGGGAAACCGGAGCUAAUACCGGAUAACAUUUAGAACCGCAUGGUUCUAAAGUGAAAGAUGGUUUUGCUAUCACUUAUAGAUGGACCCGCGCCGUAUUAGCUAGUUGGUAAGGUAACGGCUUACCAAGGCGACGAUACGUAGCCGACCUGAGAGGGUGAUCGGCCACACUGGAACUGAGACACGGUCCAGACUCCUACGGGAGGCAGCAGUAGGGAAUCUUCCGCAAUGGGCGAAAGCCUGACGGAGCAACGCCGCGUGAGUGAUGAAGGGUUUCGGCUCGUAAAACUCUGUUAUUAGGGAAGAACAAAUGUGUAAGUAACUGUGCACAUCUUGACGGUACCUAAUCAGAAAGCCACGGCUAACUACGUGCCAGCAGCCGCGGUAAUACGUA
rnacentral:rRNA from 1 species